AGAGUUUGAUCAUGGCUCAGAGUGAACGCUGGCGGCAGGCCUAAUACAUGCAAGUCGAACGGCAGCACGGCAGAGCUUGCUCUGUGGGUGGCGAGUGGCGGACGGGUGAGGAAUACAUGGGAAUCUGCCCAGUCGUGGGGGAUAACGUAGGGAAACUUACGCUAAUACCGCAUGCGCCCUUCGGGGGAAAGCCGGGGACCUUCGGGCCUGGCGCGAUUGGAUGAGCCCAUGUCGGAUUAGCUAGUUGGCGGGGUAAUGGCCCACCAAGGCGACGAUCCGUAGCUGGUCUGAGAGGAUGAUCAGCCACACUGGAACUGAGACACGGUCCAGACUCCUACGGGAGGCAGCAGUAGGGAAUAUUGGACAAUGGGCGCAAGCCUGAUCCAGCCAUGCCGCGUGAGUGAAGAAGGCCCUCGGGUUGUAAAGCUCUUUUGUCCGGAAAGAAAAGCGCCGGGUUAAUACCCUGGUGUCCUGACGGUACCGGAAGAAUAAGCACCGGCUAACUUCGUG
rnacentral:rRNA from 1 species